UACGUAGGGGGCAAGCGUUGUCCGGAUUUAUUGGGCGUAAAGAGCGUGUAGGCGGCCAAGCAGGUCCGCUGUGAAAACUCGAGGCUCAACCUCCGAGAGGUCGGUGGAAACCGUUUGGCUAGAGUCCGGAAGAGGAGAGUGGAAUUCCCGGUGUAGCGGUGAAAUGCGGCAGAUAUCGGGAAGAACACCCGUGGCGAAGGCGGCGUGCUCUGGGACGGUGGACGUCAGCUAGACGCGAAAGCGUCGGGGAGCGAACAGG
rnacentral:rRNA from 1 species